AAGCAUGGCAGCGAGGGGAUGCAUUGAGCAGGAAACCAUAAUACCAAAAUUUAAAAGCCAGAGCUUCCUGACUCCAAAAUCCUCUUUCUUUUCGGUUAUCCUGUUGAAAUGCCCAUUUCAAAUGAAGACUGACUUGAUCCUGAACAUAACCUGCAAGAAGAAAGGGACCACAGCCUGUACACAAAGCAUGGUGCCGGCGGCAUCUGCUUCUGGUGAGGGCCUCAGGAAGCUUCCAAUCAUGAUGAAGGUGAAAAGGAAGCCAGUGCAUCACAUGACAAAACAGGGAGCAAGAGGGAAGGGAGCAGUGCCACACACUUUUAAACAACCUCAUCUCAUGAGACAGAACUGAGCGAGAGUUCACUCAUCACCAAGGGAAUGGUGCUAAGUCAUUCUUGAGGGAUCUGCCCCCGUGAUCCAAUCACCUUCCACGAGACCCCACCUCCAACACUGGGGAUUACAUUUCAUCAUGAGAUCUGGAGGGGACAAACAUACAAACAAUACCAGUCUUCAACCCCUCCCUCUUCCUGGCAUACAACUCCUAAAACUCUUAGAAUCUCUAAACUUGGCGACAGAGCGAGACUCCAUCUCAAAAAAAAAA